CAGCAGCCGCGGGAAUACGAAGGGGGCUAGCGUUGUUCGGAAUCACUGGGCGUAAAGCGCACGUAGGCGGAUACUUAAGUCAGGGGUGAAAUCCCGGGGCUCAACCUCGGAACUGCCUUUGAUACUGGGUAUCUUGAGUCCGGGAGAAGUUGGUGGAACUCCGAGCGUAGAGGUGAAAUUCCUAGACAUUCGGAAGAACACCAGUGGCGAAGGCGGCUCACUGGCCCGAUACUGACGCUGAGGCACGAAAGCGUGGGGAGCAAACAGGAUUAGAUACCCCAGUAGUCCCUGUCUCUUAUAC
rnacentral:rRNA from 1 species